CCCUGCAUGUUUAGAUGGUAAAGAAUCUGCCUGCAAUGCAGAAGACCCAGGUUCAAUCCCUGGGUCAGGAA
rnacentral:tRNA from 1 species